AAUAAGUGCAGCCAUAAGUUUCUGCGCCCAACUUUGAUCGUCCGUCUUAUUUGAAAUCUUUUUAUAAUUAGUAUUUUUUGUUGCUAUAAGAUGAUGAAACACGAAUAGUACUUUAUAAGAUGAUGAAACACGAAUAGUACUUUACUCGUGACUUAUAUUUUUAAUUAUUUUUAAAAAAAUUCAAAUAAGACGAAUGGUUAAAGUUGGACACGAAAAACCAUGGCUGCACUUAUU
rfam:Oryza barthii chromosome 5, whole genome shotgun sequence.